rnacentral:tRNA from 1 species
AUAGCUUAAUGGUAGAGCAUAGCCUUGACAAGGUUGAGGUUGAGGGUUUAAGUUCCACU